rnacentral:lncRNA from 1 species
AGGAUAUAAAAAACAGCUGGGUGAUUUUUCCAGAUGUGAUUCCAGAUUGUUUUCCAAAAUGGCCAGAACCAUUCAAUAGGUUACUAGAACCUCUCUCUUCUCUGUGAAUUUCAAAACUACUCAACCCUGUUCAAACCAUUCUUUAGAGGAUGGGAUUUGGCUAUUUCCUGAUCAAUAACAAUAGAGAUGCUUGGAAUGACAGAAUCAGGUCUUGGAAAUUACAAUCUCCACCCUACUCAGGGUAACAGAAUUUAGGAAGGGCUGCAGCAAAGCUCAAGAUUUAAUUAUUUGAGAAUAUGAUCUUCAACAGACAUGUGCAAAGGGGACAGACCUCUGGGCGGUCCUGGGUGAAGCUAGAGCCACCAUUGGCACAGGUGAGACACAGGAAGUGAGGUAGAGGACAGCUGAGGAGUCUGGGGACUUCCUGUGUGGGGGAAAGGAGAUAGUUGGAGCCUGGUGCUUGGAGUGGAGGCCCUCAGACUGUUUCUCCAUUUUGGUCACGUGAGUGAUAGUAUGAUCCAGAGGUGCCAUUCCAGGUGAGAAGAAGCAAGGCAGAUGGCUAGAUGGCUGGUGCAGAUGAUUGGAUGGAAUGAAACAUCAAAGUAGGUCAAGAGUAAGUGCCAUCUUCUGUGGUCACAGGAAAAAGCUAAGCUUGCCUCAGAGCUACAGAGACCCAAAGCCUCAGAAGUCAGAAGAAGGGUCAAGAUCAAGACUAGGGGUUGCUGAAGUUUGAAGAAACUUUCACAUUGUCUAGUAACACCUCAUCCAUCUCAGCCUUGUCUAUUUUGUUGUUUUUCUUUGAGUUUCCCAUAAGAAUUUCUCUAAGAAAAUUCUCACCUUAAAUUUGCUGAACCAAGCAGAAGUGAACAACCUCCAGAGGGCUGGUGGCAGGGGCU